rnacentral:rRNA from 1 species
UGGGGAAUAUUGCACAAUGGAGGGAACUCUGAUGCAGCGACGCCGCGUGAACGAAGAAGGCUUUCGAGUCGUAAAGUUCUUUUAUAUGGGAAGAUAAUGACGGUACCAUAAGAAAAAGCCCCGGCUAACUACGUGCCAGCAGCCGCGGUAAUACGUAAGGUCCGAGCGUUGUCCGGAAUCAUUGGGCGUAAAGGGUACGUAGGCGGGUAAGCAAGUUAGAAGUGAAAUCCUAUAGCUCAACUAUAGUAAGCUUUUAAAACUGCUCAUCUUGAGGUAUGGAAGGGAAAGUGGAAUUCCUAGUGUAGCGGUGAAAUGCGCAGAUAUUAGGAGGAAUACCGGUGGCGAAGGCGACAUUCUGGCCAUAUCCUGACGCUGAGGUACGAAAGCGUGGGUAGCAAACAGG